GCGCCGUGCGGUAGUCGGGGCGGUGGCUGCCCUCGGACGGCGGCACGGGCAGCGGGAUCGCCGGGCGGAUCGGGUUCAGGACCCGGUCGGCCUC
rnacentral:tRNA from 1 species